rnacentral:rRNA from 1 species
GAUGAACGCUGGCGGCGUGCCUAAUACAUGCAAGUCGAGCGAACAGACGAGGAGCUUGCCCCUCUGACGUUAGCGGCGGACGGGUGAGUAACACGUGGAUAACCUACCUAUAAGACUGGGAUAACUUCGGGAAACCGGAGCUAAUACCGGAUAAUAUAUUGAACCGCAUGGUUCAAUAGUGAAAGACGGUUUUGCUGUCACUUAUAGAUGGAUCCGCGCCGCAUUAGCUAGUUGGUAAGGUAACGGCUUACCAAGGCGACGAUGCGUAGCCGACCUGAGAGGGUGAUCGGCCACACUGGAACUGAGACACGGUCCAGACUCCUACGGGAGGCAGCAGUAGGGAAUCUUCCGCAAUGGGCGAAAGCCUGACGGAGCAACGCCGCGUGAGUGAUGAAGGUCUUCGGAUCGUAAAACUCUGUUAUUAGGGAAGAACAAAUGUGUAUGUAACUAUGCACGUCUUGACGGUACCUAAUCAGAAAGCCACGGCUAACUACGUG